CUGGCCCUGAAUUAAGGCUGGCAGCUUCCUGAUGCUGUUGGUUUCAAGCAGGAGUCUAAAGAGAUGUCUUUCUAUGGUCUGCUUUCUAUGGCCAUUUCAGAACCUGGGCAGUGAAAUGGUCAAUUCAUUAGAAAGAAACAGCU
ensembl:snoRNA